rnacentral:autocatalytically_spliced_intron from 1 species
CAAGUUGGGUAAGUAUAUCUUGCCUGAGUUUGAAUAUAAAUUUAUUCCAUAUAGGGAAAAACCCCGUAGAGACUGUACGCCGGACUCCGAUGAAAAUCGGAGCAUGAUACAGUCCGAUCUGUGCAGUAAUGUACAG